UACGUAGGGGGCAAGCGUUGUCCGGAUUCAUUGGGCGUAAAGAGCUCGUAGGCGGCUUGGCAAGUCGGGUGUGAAACCUCCAGGCUCAACCUGGAGACGCCACCCGAUACUGCCAUGGCUAGAGUCCGGUAGGGGACCACGGAAUUCCUGGUGUAGCGGUGAAAUGCGCAGAUAUCAGGAGGAACACCGGUGGCGAAGGCGGUGGUCUGGGCCGGAACUGACGCUGAGGCGCGAAAGCCAGGGGAGCGAACGGG
rnacentral:rRNA from 1 species